ACCUCGUGAGGUUGUUGUGAAGCUUCAGUGAGAUUACAGUUUCUGGUACAGACCAAUCCCCAAAUAUAUAUCAAUUCUCCUUCUCCCCUACUUUUGUUCUCCCCCAACCCUGCUUCUCUCCCAUCUUAAGUUCUACAGCCAACCUUCACGUGGCCUAUGAAGUCUCAGACUGCUUUCAACUCUGGACAUUCUCACUUCUUUUUUUCUCCCCACUACAUGCAUACAGGGUUGGAAAACAUUAAAUGUAAUGACACCGUACUUGCAUUUCUGCCAUUGUUACUUAUAUCUAGCUGUACUGGAACCCAAGGAGAUGUUCACAAGGAAGAUGGAAAGUAAGCUGUGUAACAUCAGCAUUGGGAGCAAGAGCCACAAACCUCAUUUUCAAGUUGGGAAGAAACUCAGGACCCGAGAAGCUACAGGAUUCAGCCCAGUCACAGAGCUUGAACAAUAAAUAUUACCAGUACCCCAGCAGCUCCCCUCGUGCCUCUCCCAGCGAUGCUUCUUCCUCUUCUCCAGAGGGAACGGCUCUCCUGACUUCUAAAACCACACAUUAAUCUUAUGUGACUUUGAACUCUACGUAAAUGGAAGCAGAUGGAAAGUACUGUUUUGGGGGUUCUUUGCUCAGCAUAAUUUUGGUGAUGUUCAUUCAUAUUGUUGUGUGUAGCAGCAAUUUGUGAUUUUUCAUUUAUGUAUAGUUUCCUUUGAAUGAAUAUGCAACUCAACUUUUUAUUCUGCUCUUGAUAUCUAAAUUGUUUCUGGUUUUUUAUUUUUUGAAUAAUGCUGCUGUGAACAUUUGCCUACACUCUCCCUCUCCAAGAUUGUUUGAUCACAUUCUUCUCAGCACUUAGUAUUGUCAGACUACUUAAAAUUAGUCAUUCUGGUGGGUAUAAAUUUGACUUUAAUUUGUGGCUUUAAUUUGCACUUUUAAAAAAUUUUACUUUAAAUUCUGGGAUACAUGUGCAGAACAUGCAGGUUUGUUACAUAGGUAUACAUUGCCCUGGUAGUUUGCUGCACCCAUCAACCCAUCAUCUAAGUUUUAAGCCCCGCAUGCAUUAGGUAUUUGUCCUAAAUGCUCUCCCUCCCCUGGCCUCCCAAAUACUGACAGGCCCCCAUGUGUGAUGUCCCCCUCCCUAUGCCUUCUCAUUGUUCAACUCCCACUUACAAGUGAGAACAUGUGGUGUUUGGUUUUCUGUUCUUGUAUUAGUUUGCUGAGAAUAAUGGCUUCCAGCUUCAUCCAUGUCCCUGCAAAGUAUAUGAACUCAUUCUUUUUAUGACUGCGUAGUAUUCCAUUGUGUAUAUGUGCCACAUUUUUCUUUACCUAGUUUAUCAUUGGUGGGCAUUGGGCUGGUUCCAAGUGUUUGCUACUGCAAAUAGUGCCACAAUAAACAUAUGUGUGCAUGUGUCUGUAUAGUAGAGUGAUUUAUAAUCCUUUGGGUAUGUACUCAGUAGUGGGAUUGGUGGGUCAAAUGGUAUUUUGUUCUAGAUCCUUGAGGAAUCGCCACACUCUCUUCCACAGUGGUUGAACUAAUUUACACUCCUACCAACAAUGUAAAAGCGUACCUAUUUCUCCAUAUCCUUGCAAGCAUCUGAUAUUUCCAGACUUUUUAAUGAUCACCAUUCUAACUGGUGUGAGAUGGUAUCUCAUUUUGGUUUUGAUUUGCAUUUCUCUAAUGACCAGUGAUGAUGAGCUUUUUUUCAUGUUUUUUGGCC
rnacentral:lncRNA from 10 species